AUGAACGCUGGCGGCGUGCCUAAUACAUGCCAGUCGAGCGAACAGACGAGGAGCUUGCUCCUCUGACGUUAGCGGCGGACGGGUGAGUAACACGUGGAUAACCUACCUAUAAGACUGGGAUAACUUCGGGAAACCGGAGCUAAUACCGGAUAAUAUAUUGAACCGCAUGGUUCAAUAGUGAAAGACGGUUUUGCUGUCACUUAUAGAUGGACCCGCGCCGCAUUAGCUAGUUGGUAAGGUAACGGCUUACCAAGGCGACGAUGCGUAGCCGACCUGAGAGGGUGAUCGGCCACACUGGAACUGAGACACGGUCCAGACUCCUACGGGAGGCAGCAGUAGGGAAUCUUCCGCAAUGGGCGAAAGCCUGACGGAGCAACACCGCGUGAGUGAUGAAGGUCUUCGGAUCGUAAAACUCUGUUAUUAGGGAAGAACAAAUGUGUAAGUAACUAUGCACGUCUUGACGGUACCUAAUCAGAAAGCCACGGCUAACUACGUG
rnacentral:rRNA from 1 species